rnacentral:rRNA from 1 species
UACGGAGGGUGCAAGCGUUAAUCGGAAUUACUGGGCGUAAAGCGCGCGCAGGCGGUCUUCCAAGUCAGUGGUGAAAGCCCGGAGCUCAACUCCAGAACUGCCAUUGAAACUGUUGGACUUGAGUACGAGAGAGGUGAGUGGAAUUCCCAGUGUAGAGGUGAAAUUCGUAGAUAUUGGGAAGAACACCGGUGGCGAAGGCGGCUCACUGGCUCGUAACUGACGCUCAGGCGCGACAGCGUGGGGAUCAAACAGG